rnacentral:lncRNA from 1 species
UCAAUUUAUAUACUCACUCACUGGUUCCAGUCACCAGAUCACAAAAUGGUAUACUAUUUCUCUCUCUCCCUCCAUCUGAGGGUUCUAAACCCCAAAACCACAUUAUUCUGGAGCCACUUCUUUUGGUCCUAUUUUGCUAAUAUUUUGGCUGCCAUGGUGGAUUGUCUCUUAGCUCAGUUCUCUUUUGAUUUGAUUCAGGUACAACUGGACACUCAAAUGCCCCUGGAGACACCCCCGUGGGAAGCCGUGAACUGUAACUGGGUUUCUUUGCCUAUUAUCUUGGAGGUGGAAGACUGUGACAGUAAGCUCUGGUAA